AGAUCUGCCGAAUGUUCCUGGUACCCCUGUGGUGACUGAGAGAACCGCAACAAGCGUUACACUCACCUGGGAUUCUGGCAACCCUGAGCCUGUUUCCUACUAUAUCUUACAGCACCGUGCCAAAGGGUCAGAGGACCCCUACAAAGAGAUUGAUGGCAUCACCACAACACUCUACAGCGUGGGCGGCCUCAGCCCAAACUCCCACUAUGACUUUCGGGUAGCAGCCGUUAACACCAUUGGCCAGGGCCCCUCCAGUGAGGUGCUGGAGGUUCGCACAGCCCUCCUUGCCCCCUCAACAGGCCAGAGUUUCAUUAAACAAAAUGAAAUGAAAUAAUAUGAGGAGAUACAGAAGCAGAGCAACUCUGACAAAUGUGUACCCAAAACCAGCUACUCUGUGAUCAGCAAUCUUCACCUUUACCUGUCUGAUACUUUUGUAUAUGCAUUUGAUUGUGCCUCUAAUAACAGCAUAACGUAAUGCCAAAGGUUUUUACUUGUUUGUCUUGUUGUUGUUAUUGUUGUGUUUGGACCAUUGCAAUUUGCAAUAUCCUCAGAACUAAUAUGCAAUCUGUGAAGUAUUUCACUCCAGUUUUAGAGCAUUUAAAAUCACAGAAUUUGUUCUCUUGUAAGUGUCAAUUGUUUAUUAUGAGAAAUGUUUUGGCUCUCAAGGAGCUUAUGACAUCCUUGCAUUUCUUGAACAUCACUGUUUGUCAGUCAGCGAUAGGGCUGGAAUUAAAUGAUUAUGUUCAUAGUUGAUUAAUCUGUUGAUUAUUUUCUUAAUUAACCAAUUAGUUGUCUGAAAAAUUCAACGUGUGGUAUUCUGUCCGGCUGAAGUCACAUUUCCUUCCUGAGUAAAAGAUAAAGAUGUGUGUGGUGAUGUAACAUGAUGAUUUAAACCCAGUGGCAUAUCAGAUCAAUUGAGUCAAAAUAAAAUGCACUGAAGUGUU